rnacentral:rRNA from 1 species
CGGAGGGUGCGAGCGUUGUCCGGAAUCACUGGGCGUAAAGGGCGCGUAGGCGGCCUGAUAAGUAGGGGGUGAAAUCCUGCGGCUUAACCGCAGGGCUGCCUUCUAAACUGUCAGGCUAGAGCACGGUAGAGGCAGAUGGAAUUCCCGGUGUAGCGGUGAAUGCGUAGAGAUCGGGAAGAACAUCAGUGGCGAAGGCGGUCUGCUGGGCCGUUGCUGACGCUGAGGCGCGACAGCGUGGGGAGCAAACAGGAUUAGAUACCCUGGUAGUCCACGCCGUAAACGAUGGACACUAGGCGUCGGGGGGAGCGACCCUCCCGGUGCCGUCGCUAACGCAGUAAGUGUCCCGCCUGGGGAUACGGCCGCAAGGCUG